AUGUUCCCAUAUGCUUUGAAAUCUUUGGCAAGCCUGAGAUGGUGUGGAGGCAUUCAGAAGUCAGCUUCCGUAGUUGUAAUCUCGCCUCUACCGGUGGAACUUGCACUUGCUCCUCUUGGUGAGUCAAGGAGAGUAAGACUAAGGUCUUGUACAAUUUUGGAAUUAGUGGAGCGCGGUCAUCGUGUAAAUAAACUUAGUAGAAUCAAGUGCUUUAUGCAGCUGACAGGUUGUGCCACUGAGGAAAAUUGA